UCAGUGUCAGUUGAGAGUGUCAACUUGGGUGCCUGUAGGAUUUUUAAGGUCCAGCAGAUGUCAGUAUUCAGUGACACAGUAUCAAUACAGUUUGGCAAUGUGUUGAACCGCUUCAUGACGCCUCAUUGACCCAUCACUAAUGCUGACUUUUUUUUUUUUUUUUUUUUUUUAAA